GACGCGGGGGGCAAGCGUUGUUCGGAGUUACUGGGCGUAAAGGGUGCGUAGGCGGCGCGUUAAGUAAGGUGUGAAAUCCCUCGGCUCAACUGUGGGAUGGCGCUUAAAACUAGCGGGCUCGAGGGAGAUAGAGGAGUACGGAACUGACAGUGGAGCGGUGAAAUGCGUUGAUAUCGUCAGGAACACCGGUGGCGAAAGCGGUCCUCUGGAUUUCUUCUGACACUGAUGCAAGAAAGCUAGGGGAGCGAACGGG
rnacentral:rRNA from 1 species